AGGCUCAGAAUUCCUUGUUUAUAGUCCAGUUCAUGUUAGUUUCAACAAUGUUUUUUUUUUUUCCCCCUGAUCAGACCUUGAAACCAACUGAUUAAUUCAACAUGAUAAGGCUCAUUUCACUCCUAGAUGAAUGAAGUCUAUGGGACCAGGAAGAAUACCUUUUUAAACAAAAGGAUAUUAUUGAAAUCUGAGAGUGUCAGAUUCCUCAGAUAAUCAGGAAAAAAAUCCCCAACCUUUCGACCUGCACUGAAGGGAUGACUGAGGAAACUGGCAGCAAGACACCUCUAAGUGCUCUAUGGAUUAAGAAUGGCCAGACAUUUUCCAAGGCCCUGUGAAGUGGUAACUGUGGUAACACUGAUGUCAAAGGGAUGCAGAGCAGUUACCCCUGUCAAGGCAAAAAAGCUCCUACUACGAGGACACCGUGCUUUAAUGAGUCUAACUGAAGGAAAAGGCGUAACAGUGGUGGAACUGGUGAUAGAAAUUGUGCCAGAGAAGGAUGAAGAGUAAAACAGGACUGUUGGUGUUGAAAAUACCUUGCAGUUUCAAAAAUGGACGCUGCUGUGGUGGACAAAGAACAGGAAAGAGGGGGCUCUUUUGUGAAUACCAGCACAAGUUUUCAGACUCCCUCUGCCCUGUCUGUUUCUCUUGGAUGUAUCACCCAGAGCUGAAGCUCCAGGGAAAGGACCCAGGGACAUCUCUACAGAUUGCACAGCCUGACUUGCGCUUGGUGCUCUUUGUCAUGCAGGGAUGCCAGAGCAUCAUGGAUAAUUCUGCAGCUUACAGUCAUUUAAACAACUGGAAAUUGCUCAAUAUAUCAAGCCUAAAUACAAAGGAUCUGAUUCAUUGGGAAAUCCACACUUCUGUCUUGUGUGCUUUAGAGUGAAAAUUUCUAUAAACAUGAAGUCCCACU
rnacentral:lncRNA from 1 species